rnacentral:rRNA from 1 species
CAGUCGCCGCGGUAAUACAGAGGGUGCAAGCGUUAAUCGGAAUUACUGGGCGUAAAGCGCGCGUAGGUGGUUUGUUAAGUUGGAUGUGAAAUCCCCGGGCUCAACCUGGGAACUGCAUCCAAAACUGGCAAGCUAGAGUAUGGUAGAGGGUGGUGGAAUUUCCUGUGUAGAGGUGAAAUGCGUAGAUAUAGGAAGGAACACCAGUGGCGAAGGCGACCACCUGGACUGAUACUGACACUGAGGUGCGAAAGCGUGGGGAGCAAACAGGAUUAGAUACCCCGGUAGUCCCUGUCUCUUAUAC